CCAAACGCCUGAUUCCCCGAGAAUAGGAAUAUCGUUUAAUGCUGUGAUACACAAGAUAGGGAGUAACCGUGUUUGGCAACCGAGGUAUAGAAUAUAUCGCACAUCAUAUCCUGUAAGACUGAUACAACGUCCAACUGACAAAAUGUGGCCUUGUCCUGCCUGCACCUUCGAAAAUGAAGAUGAAUGUAGAAAGUGCAAAAUGUGUAGAGUGGAGCACAUUAGUGGAGAAAACGUCCAUUCCCUUCUCUGCACACAGAAGUAUAUAAUGAUGUCUCCCUGCUAUGGAGAGCGCGGAGUUUUCAUGUAGCCGACACAGACGGCAUGGUCUACCCUGUAUGUGACUCGCCUAUGAGCAAUUUUGUGUAAAGACACCACUCUUCAGAACACACAAGAUAUUCAUCGAGUCAACUAGUGCUUGCUGUAAGCAAGUAUAUGAUGGUGAAUACAGUUGAAGAUUACUGCACAAAUUGCUGACGUGUUUGUCCUCUUUGCC